rnacentral:rRNA from 1 species
GUUGUUGCGGUUAAAAAGCUCGUAGUUGGAGUUCUGCCAGGUGCCGCCUGUCCGCCCCAGUGGUGAGUACGUGGCGCGCAUUUGGCCCUUUCAAGGGGAGCGUAUUGCACUUAACUGUGUGGUGCGGGAUCCUUGACUUUUACUUUGAGGAAAUAAGAGUGUUCCAAGCAGGCUCUCGUCGUGCAUAGCUCAGCAUGGAAUAAUAGCAUUGGAUCUCGAUUCCAAACUGUUGGUUGUAGGAAACGAGAUAAUGAUGAAGAGGGAUAGUUGGGGGCAUUCGUAUUUAACUGUCAGAGGUGGAAUUCUUGGAUUUGUUAAAGACGAACUACUGCGAAAGCAUCUGCCAUGGAUGUUUUCAUUGAUCAAGAACGAAGGUUGGGGGAUCGAAGACGAUCAGAUACCGUCCUAGUCUUAACUAUAAACCAUGCCGGCUAGAGAUCGGAGGUUGUUCGUUUUGUGACGCCUUCAGCAUCUUGAGAGAAAUCAAAGCCUUUGGGUUCCGGGGGGAGUAUGGUCGCAAGGCUGAAACUUAAAGGAAUUGACGGAAGGGCACCACCAGGAGUGGAGCCUGCGGCUUAAUUUGACUCAACACGGGGAAACUCACCAGGUCCAGACUGGGUAAGGAUGUACAGAUUGACAGCUCUUUACAGAUUCUCAGGGUGGUGGUGCAUGGCCGUUCUUAGUUGGUGGAGUGAUUUGUCUGGUUAAUUCCGUUAACGAACG